rnacentral:rRNA from 1 species
UAGGGGGCAAGCGUUAUCCGGAUUCACUGGGCGUAAAGGGAGCGCAGGCGGCACGGCAAGUCUGAUGUGAAAACCCGGGGCUCAACCCUGGGACUGCAUUGGAAACUGCCGGGCUGGAGUGUCGGAGGGGUAAGCGGAAUUCCUGGUGUAGCGGUGAAAUGCGUAGAUAUCAGGAGGAACACCGGUGGCGAAGGCGGCUUACUGGACGACAACUGACGCUGAGGCUCGAAAGCGUGGGGAGCAAAC